GUUAAGGGUCAAAGUUAACUGUAAGGCUCAACUCAGGGCACAAAAGCUCCAGAUGUCUCUCCAGGCUGAUCUCUGAUUGGUUGACAGGAGGACUGUACAAUGGCUGAAAGCGUCUCGGUUUCGCUUUUGUGCUCUUGAUGGCACCUGCAGCCCAUCAGGCCAUCCCCAGAAGUUCUGCUGUGUCUCCCUGCUCAGGAGAUGGGCGGUUACUCAAGGAGAGCUGUGCAGGGCAGUAGAAAGCCAUGAACCCAGCCUCAGCACUAGGAUCUGCUCCUGUAAAAGCCCUACAAAAUGAUCCCCUGGAAGCUGCUCAGCUGCAUGUUUCUAAAUGAACUGUCAUAAACAUUGAUAUUGGUAUUGAUAUUCUUUUAAAUAGACAUUACAUGGACAUGCAGUACACACCAAGCAGCAGUGUCUUUUCAGUGUUUAUUGAGUUUCUGAUCUAUCAAUGCCAUCAUAUCAGACACUUCCAUUAUGGUAAGGCACAGGUUUGUUCAGAUAAAACACUGAUCUUAUGUACAGCAAAUGUGUGGACGUGGUACAUACAAACAACUCUUUCUUAGCCUGAAUGACCAGCCAACAAUUGGUCCAAUAAAAAAACAAAACAAAAAACAAAAAACUGGUUUCAUUCAUUUCAAAGCCCUUUUUGUUAUACAAGAUUCAAAAGGUAAAGCCAACAUUUUGCAAUGCAAUAUGAAAUGUAACGUCAUACCAAAAGCUUAAAAAUAAAAAUUGUGAGGGAAAAAAAGCAAAUACAUUUCAAAAACGUGACUGAAUACAGAUUCAAAGUAAUGCCUGGAAAUGCCUGCAGAGUACUGACUUGACUAGCAUCUUGUGAGCCGUGAACUAAAAGUUUACAGUUACACGUUUACCUUGGUAUGACGACAAGUCUUUCUUACAAAGUGGUAACAAAAAAUAAAACGAAUCCUGCUGCGCCUAAAUCUAAUAGUUAGUUCCUGUUGUGCAUAAUUUAAGCUCAUAAUCGGUCACAUGAUUGUCCAAUAGAAAUUUAGGUCCAACAAGAA